rnacentral:lncRNA from 1 species
UGUAGGUGCAUUAAGUCUGUUGGGGAAAGUCUACUUGAGUCUACUCAAUAAUCUACCUCUUUCAACACAUUGAAUAGCAUCCCAUUAGUCUGACCAAGUUAAUGCAGCUUCAAAAGGGAAAUAGUUCAGUUCUUUUCCAUAAAGAACUGAAAUAGUUCAGUUCUUUUCCAUCAUAAGUAUGAUGAGAACCAUAAUGCAUUUUUUCCAGCUGUUUUUCUAUAUUUUGCUAUUCAUUGGCUAAGAUUGCUAGAUAAGGAUUACAUUAUUAUAGGAAAAGGAUGGCCAUCCAUUUGGUAAAAAAUGAUGCCACUAACUUAAUAUUAGCAUGAGAACUUCAGGAAAUUUUCUCAAAAGUUGUAAUGGGUUUGUAAUAUUCUAUUCCUGCUUUUCCUCUAAUGGCUAAGGAUGGACAAAGGAACAUUUUUGCAUGACAGCUGAAAGGCAUCAGGGCAUUUAGCCAGGAUCUGAGUGAACUAAUGGGUCCAUGAUAGCUACCGAUCUUCAGUCUUGACCUCUGAGGCCUUAUCACAUUAAACCAGUGAGCCUGUAACAAAAAUUCAGAAAUGAAAGUGUGGCAUUUCAUUAGAUGCAGCCAAGGGUAAAAACUGUAUUUACAUUUGAUGUAAUAAAGAAAG